rnacentral:lncRNA from 1 species
ACAAACUAGACAUCCGGAAUUACUGAAUUUAUCCACACAAGCAUUUAGAAUAGAAACGAAGAGAACCAUGAAGAUCUAAAACCAUGAAAAGAGAAUCAGAAGUUGCUAGUCCCGUUCAUUAAUAAUUUACUGACAGAAGACUAGAUUUGUUCACCUCUUGAAUGGUUUGAAAAUAUGAAUGAACUACCAAAUCAAGCUAUAAGUCAAAUAACUUGGAUUGUACAAGAGAUUAUUAACAUCUUCAUAAAAGGUUAAACCCAAAUAAAAAGACUAAGCAUACCUAGAUUACAAUUUGAAACAAAUCAAUGAAUAGAUUGAGAUCCAAGGCUCAAGUAACAGAAGUUCCCAAUGACCAAAGAUGUUUAUUCAAUAUUUUCAAGCUCCUUUUAUAGCUGACACAAAAGAUUUUAGAUUACCAUAGCUUUCCAAUUAAGAAAAAUACCAUACAAAAAGGCAACUAAAGAACCAAUUUGACAUCCUAAAUCAAAAAGGAAAAGAGAAAAAAAGAAGAAGUGCAUUCACUAUUUUUCAGCAACAAAAUACCGAUCAAAUUAAUGAAUAAGUAUGCAUGAUCCAAGUCCAACAUUGAAUUUAAUUAGCAUGAGACCUUCAAAAAAGAAAUUAGUAAUGAGAAUAUUAUCCAUUGUAUAUUCAUCAUUGUUUAUUUAGGAUUUGUAUUUUGAGGAGUAUAAGUCAGUUUAUUCUUUAUUCAAAUCGAUGUCUCAACUAUUAUUUAGACAGAUAUUUGAAUAUACAUAUAAAUAAAAUAAUUUAACAAUAGGUUAUAAACAAAGAGUAAGUCAAAGAGAGAAAUCAAUGGCCUCUUGAAAACUUGUAUAAAGACUCUGAGCAUAACUUUUAUGAGUGUUACGGCCUUUUCAAUUGCAGAAGUGGUUUUGCUUGGAGUCUAGACACUAAAUUGUGGACUGCUAAGCCUGAACUAUGGAAAGCACUUGCGAAGGUUGGUAUAAUAUUCUUGUCCAAGUUAUCUGCUUCUUGUGCUUGGUUAUUACGGAACUAAUUUCCAGUUCGUGCUGUCUUAUUUGUCAGUCAAAACCUGAUGUAAAAAAAAUGGAUGAUUACAAGAAUUGCUAAUUAUAAUAUGCUUGUGAUGCUUUUUGCUAAAGAUAGAGAGAAGAGGAAAGGAGCUAAAAGGGGUCAAUUGGGCUGCUCAAUAGGUGGCCGAGUAUUUGAUGAUAUCCCUUUGCAAGAUGUAGUUGGUGCAAGUAUGGAGGAAACAGACACGAAUGAUACCAGUUAGCAACAUCAUUGAAAGGGAAAAAACGAAAGGCAAGAGUUGAAGUAUUUGAAAGGGAGUUUAAAAAGUAUAAGGGAAGCAAUUAAAGAUGUUGCAGAAGCAAUCAAGAAGGGGAAUAUUAUAGUCGAGAGAGGAAAACUACGUGUUUACUUAGAGAAUGAAAUAUUUGCAGAAUUAGUGAACAUAAGGCAUAUAUUUUCCUUAUUGCAAACGCUGGGAGCUGAGGAACGAAAGGAAUUUUUAUUGCAGAUGAUGCAUAAUAGUUCUGGGGAUUUGGCAUAAUAAAAUUUAUUGGCUAGUUAGGAUUCUUUUUUUUUUCAUUAGCUUUGAAUGGGAUGGCAAGCAGGGAUAAUGUACAUAAGAUAUGAUGCUUCAUAAUUUAUGGUGUGUUAUAGUAGAGCUAUUUGCAUUCAUUUUUUUGGGGUACAUUAGUUGAUUACUACAGCAGCCAUAUAUUAAAGCGAAUGGCAUUAAUGCCUCAACACAAGCUGCAAUAAUAAGUCAAAUCAACAAUUCCUUCUAUCAUCUCCACCUUUCUAACCUAUGGCAUUAUGUUGUAUUGCAAAGAACAAACACCUGCAUAGAAUGUUUAAAAAUAAAAGAACACAAGCAAUCAUGGGUAGAAUGUCUAAGGAAAUUUUUUGGUGUUACUGUACACUUCCAAUACAUUAUUAAUAUUAAUGAAAUAAACAAGUCAUUCACUACCUGUGUGUGAGCAAAGAAGGUUUUGUUCCCUUGACUGAAGCCCUUUCCAGUUGAUCCAAUUUCCAUGACCUUUUCCAAGCAAUCAAAUAAAAAAUUGAUAUUUAUAUCUAUGAAAGAGCAAACUUGACAUGAUCACAGGGCAACUACAUAACACAGAAGAAGCAAAAAAGGAGGAUCGAUUACUUCACAACAUACACACCCACACAGGUAAUAUUAAUUGAUCAAAGUAAGAGAACAAUAGCCAAAGAAACCCCCUCCAAUGACAUAGCGAAAAACAAGUUCAACCAAAUGAGAAGAAUACCAACUGAAUCAGUGAGCUAUUGAGACCACGAACAGCUUUUGACUGCUGAUCAAGUUCAAGUAAAAAUCUUCUGCUACCAAGGUAACCCUAGGCCUCACCAAUAAAAACAAUAAAGACAAGCUGCAUUAAAUUUAUAGAAACAUUAACAAACAAAAAACUUAUCUUGGAGAUUGACACCUUCUAGAAAUGUAGCUAGGGAGAACGCCAUAGAAAACCUAUUUAUUAAGGUUGUAUAAACCAUCUAUAUGAGAAAAGGCAUCAACUGCUGUGUUUUUGUUGAGAGGAAAUUGAAACCGUUGACCCUGAUUUCAACCGGAGCUUAAGGAUACUGAGAAUCGAUGGAAUUCGCCGGUAGGUAAAAUUUUGAUGGCUUUUAAUUUGAAAUUGAAUCUGGGUUCAGGCUUGGAUGGGGUUGGAAAUGAUGCUUCAGACGUGAAAAAGAAGGAGAAGGCUGGAACGAAAUGGGAAUCAAACUGAAAAAAAGAAGAAAAUGCUCAGAUGUGAGAAGGGUAAAGUGGAACAAUUUUCACGUUGAAUAGGUAUUCCAUUGGGGGAGUGCUAGA